CCCGACUGCUAUUUGGGUGAGGAUAAGCCAUGCGAGUUGAAUGGGAAACCUAAAGUUCCCAUGGCAAACUGCUCAGUAACACAUGAUCAACUUACCCUAUAGAGAAAAAUAACCUCGGGAAACUGAGGAUAAUGUUUCAUAGUUGAAUUGGCUUGGAAAAGUUUUUCGACGAAAGGGGUAAAAAAAAUGGUUUUUAUCUGCUAUAGGAUAGGAUCGUGUUCGAUUAUGGUUGUUGGUGAGGUAAUGGCUCACCAAGCCGAUAAUCGAUAGGGGCCGUGAGAGCGGGAGCCCCGAGAUGGGUACUGAGACAACGACCCAGACCUUACGAGGCGCAGCAGGCGCGAAACCUCCGCAAUACACGAAAGUGUGACGGGGUUACCCAAAGUGUUCAAUAGAACUGUGGUAGGUGAGUAAUGUUCCCUACUAGAAAGGAGAGGGCAAGGCUGGUGCCAGCCGCCGCGGUAAAACCAGCUCUUCAAGUGGUCGGGAUAAUUAUUGGGCUUAAAGUGUCCGUAGCCGGUUUAGUAAGUUCCUGGUAAAAUCGGGUAGCUUAACUAUCUAUAUGCUAGGAAUACUACUAUACUAGAGGGCGGGAGAGGUCUGAGGUACUACAGGGGUAGGGGUGAAAUCUUAUAAUCCUUGUUGGACCACCAGUGGCGAAGGCGUCAGACUGGAACGCGCCUGACGGUGAGGGACGAAAGCCAGGGGAGCGAACCGGAUUAGAUACCCGGGUAGUCCUGGCCGUAAACGAUGCAUACUAGGUGAUGGCACGGCCAUGAGCCGUGUCAGUGCCGUAGGGAAACCGUUAAGUGUGCCGCCUGGGAAGUACGGUCGCAAGGCUAAAACU
rnacentral:rRNA from 1 species